AGAGUUUGAUUAUGGCUCAGAGUGAACGUUGGCGGCGUGGAUAGGCAUGCAAGUCGUGCGGAAAGGCCCCGCAAGGGGUACUCGAGCGGCGAAAGGGAUAGUAACGCGUAGGUCACCUACCCUUGGGACGGGGAUAGCUGGGGGAAACUCCAAUUAAUACCCGAUAACGUCUGCGGACCAAAGGUGUGAUUCCGCCUGAGGACGGGCCUGCGUCCUAUCAGCUAGUUGGUGAGGUAACGGCUCACCAAGGCAACGACGGGUAGCGGGUGUGAGAGCACGACCCGCAUCACUGGGACUGAGAUACUGCCCAGACACCUACGGGUGGCUGCAGUCGAGGAUCUUCGGCAAUGGGCGAAAGCCUGACCGAGCGACGCCGCGUGCGGGAUGAAGGCCUUCGGGUUGUAAACCGCUGUCAGUGGGGAGGAAAUCUGGGAGGGAUCACCCUGUCAGUUGACCUAUCCGCAGAGGAAGGACGGGCUAAGUUCGUGCCAGCCGCCGC
rnacentral:rRNA from 1 species